rnacentral:rRNA from 1 species
UAGCCUACGGGACGCAGCAGUGGGGAAUAUUGCACAAUGGGGGAAACCCUGAUGCAGCGACGCCGCGUGAGUGAAGAAGUAUCUCGGUAUGUAAAGCUCUAUCAGCAGGAAAGAUAAUGACGGUACCUGACUAAGAAGCCCCGGCUAACUACGUGCCAGCAGCCGCGGCAAUACGUAGGGGGCAAGCGUUAUCCGGAUUUACUGGGUGUAAAGGGAGCGUAGACGGCAGAGCAAGACUGGAGUGAAAUGCCGGGGCGCAACCCCGGAACU